rnacentral:rRNA from 1 species
UACGGAGGGGUUAGCGUUGUUCGGAAUUACUGGGCGUAAAGCGCACGUAGGCGGAUUGGAAAGUUAGGGGGUGGAAAUCCCAGGGCUCAACCCCUGGAACUGCCUCCAAAACUACCCAGUCUGGAGUUCGAGAGAGGUGAGUGGAAUUCCGAGUGUAGAGGUGAAAUUCGUAGAUAUUCGGAGGAACACCAGUGGCGAAGGCGGCUCACUGGCUCGAUACUGACGCUGAGGUGCGAAAGUGUGGGGAGCAAACAGGAUUAGAUACCCGCGUAGU